AACUUCUCUGAUAUCUGAUAUCUGAUGAAGAUCACUUCUUUUGAUCAAGCUAUGCUGAUGAUUCUUCAACUUCACAUAUCAGUGGAUCUGCAUAAUGACGUCCAAAGUGAAUUCUAAUCAGAAAAUAAAAGGCCAAGGAAGUCCAGUAUGCAUUGAACUAAAUGAAGCGGCUGUUGGACGGAUGUAGUGGCAAUCCACACCACGGCGGUCCUGCUGACAUACUGGGAACUAGAACCUGUCAGGCCCCACGGCUUCCACUGAUGCAGAGCAAGGACAGGCAUGCUCUUUCCUCCAGCCUUGCAGCCCCAAAGCCCACAAACCUAAGGCAUGGCUUCUCUGACCUGGCAGAUUUCUGACUCUCCAUCAGGUAGCCAGGGCGUCUCAUUAUAUCUCUGACCUCCAGUUUUUGUAAUGUUUGGUUACAUGUCUAAAGUAAAGUUCCUCAGCAUCUUACACUGAGACUGAGUCAUGGGGUUUUGCUUUGUUUUAUGCAAAGAGCACUUUGGUGGGCUGUGG
ensembl:lncRNA